GGGAGCUUAACUGGCAGUUGUGGGGGCACCGGGAGGGAAGCUAAUUUUCCUUGCCGGCGACCGGCGCACGGGUGAGUAACACGUAUGCAACCUGCCCUCUUCAGGGGGACAACCUUCCGAAAGGGAGGCUAAUCCCGCGUAUAUCGGUUUCGGGCAUCCGUUAUCGAGGAAAGAUUCAUCGGAAGAGGAUGGGCAUGCGGCGCAUUAGCUAGACGGCGGGGUAACGGCCCACCGUGGCGACGAUGCGUAGGGGUUCUGAGAGGAAGGUCCCCCACACUGGUACUGAGACACGGACCAGACCCCUACGGGAGGCAGCAGUGAGGAAUAUUGGUCAAUGGGAGAGAUCCUGAACCAGCCAAGCCGCGUGAGGGAAGACGGCCCUAUGGGUUGUAAACCUCUUUUGUCGGAGAACAAAACCCGGGACGUGUCCCGGACUGCGUGUAUCCGAAGAAAAAGCAUCGGCUAACUCCGUGCCAGCAGCCGCGGUAAUACGGAGGAUGCGAGCGUUAUCCGGAUUUAUUGGGUUUAAAGGGUGCGUAGGCGGUCUGUUAAGUCAGCGGUAAAAUUGCGGGGCUCAACCCCGUCGAGCCGUUGAAACUGGCAGACUUGAGUUGGCGAGAAGUACGCGGAAUGCGCGGUGUAGCGGUGAAAUGCAUAGAUAUCGCGCAGAACUCCGAUUGCGAAGGCAGCGUACCGGCGCCAGACUGACGCUGAGGCACGAAAGCGUGGGGAUCGAACAGGAUUAGAUAC
rnacentral:rRNA from 1 species